rnacentral:tRNA from 1 species
UGGAGGGUUGUCUGAGUGGUCUAUAGAGGCGGUCUUGAAAACCGUUGAGUGACAAGCUCCGGGGGUUCGAAUCCCUCACCCUCCGA